AAGACCUUGCGCUUUUGGAGCGGCCGAUGCCUGAUUAGCUUGUUGGUAAGGUAAAAGCUUACCAAGGCUUCGAUCAGUAGCUGGUCUGAGAGGACGGCCAGCCACACGGGGACUGAGACACGGCCCAGACUCCUACGGGAGGCAGCAGUGGGGAAUUUUGGACAAUGGGGGCAACCCUGAUCCAGCCAUGCCGCGUGAGUGAAGAAGGCCUUCGGGUUGUAAAGCUCUUUCAGCCGGAACGAAACGGUUACGGUUAAUACCCGUGAUUACUGACGGUACCGGAAGAAGAAGCACCGGCUAACUACGUGCCAGCAGCCGCGGUAAUACGUAGGGUGCGAGCGUUAAUCGGAAUUACUGGGCGUAAAGCGUGCGCAGGUGGUUUUGUAAGUCAGAUGUGAAAGCCCCGGGCUCAACCUGGGAACU
rnacentral:rRNA from 1 species